GCUAAACGAUGCACACCUGUAACUCACGUGACCCUGGUUAUUAUUGAAACGAGAACGAGGGCGUCGUGCCUUUAUAAGACUGCGUUAAUGGUUCCGUGGAGUUAUCCCUUCCGUUGUUGUUUAUUGAUUGUUAAACAUGGCUUCAUUUACAAAGGUGGUUGUGUGUGUCCUCAUUGCUUGUGUCUGUAAUGCAUUCGGUUUUCCGAAGAGAGAUGUGAACUUUAAGGCCUCUGCAGUUGACCGCCAAAGUGAUGAUGUGGUUGUCACCACAACAGCCGUUCCCCACAACCAGACCACCUCUGCCCCUACUGAAGCUGGUGAUGGAGCAAGUGAAGAUGCUGUGGCUACUACCCCAGCACCUAAUCCACACAACCAGACAACUUCUGCACAAACUGAAGUUACUGAUGGGGCCAGUGAAGAUGCUGUGGACCGCCAAAGUGAUGAUGUGGUUGUCGCCACAACACCCAAUCCCCACAACCAGACCACAUCUGCCCCUACUGAAGCUGGUGAUGGAGCAAGUGAAGAUGGAGCAAGUGAAGAUGGAGCAAGUGAAGAUGGAGCAAGUGAAGAUGGAGCAAGUGAAGAUGGAGCAAGUGAAGAUGGAGCAAGUGAAGAUGGAGCAAGUGAAGAUGAUGCAAGUGAAGAUGAUGCAGAUGAUGAUGAUGAUGCAAGUGAAGAUGCUGUGGCUACCACCCCAACACCAAAUCCCCCAACUACAUCUGACCACACUGCAGCUACCGUAUCCCAUACGACUGAAGUCUGAUUCGACUGCUCCUCUGGUCACAAUGACCUGUCUGGACUUUUUGCCUCUACAUGUUCACUGCAAUAAAGGACAGAUUUGUAUUUUUUUUUUAAUCAAAUGUUGUCUUGCCUUUUUCAAAUUGAGGCCUUGUCCUGUUUUGGUAGUGGAGAUAACUGACGCCUCUUUCCUAACGCACUACAUUUCUGGCAACUUAUAAUGCAUAGUGAACAUGUAAUAAUUCGGUGGUAUGAUCCCAGGAGAACAUUUUUAAGAAACAAAUCACAGAAUUGUGGUUCCUCGCCGUUUUUUUUUUAAUAUAAAUCGAGGCUUUCCUCAUAAUACCGCAAGAACAA
rnacentral:lncRNA from 1 species